AUUGAACGCUGGCGGCAUGCCUUACACAUGCAAGUCGAACGGUAACGCGGGGCAACCUGGCGACGAGUGGCGAACGGGUGAGUAAUGUAUCGGAACGUGCCCAGUUGUGGGGGAUAACUGCUCGAAAGAGCAGCUAAUACCGCAUACGACCUGAGGGUGAAAGCGGGGGAUCGCAAGACCUCGCGCAAUUGGAGCGGCCGAUAUCAGAUUAGGUAGUUGGUGGGGUAAAGGCUCACCAAGCCGACGAUCUGUAGCUGGUCUGAGAGGACGACCAGCCACACUGGGACUGAGACACGGCCCAGACUCCUACGGGAGGCAGCAGUGGGGAAUUUUGGACAAUGGACGCAAGUCUGAUCCAGCCAUGCCGCGUGCGGGAAGAAGGCCUUCGGGUUGUAAACCGCUUUUGUCAGGGAAGAAAGGGCUCCUUCUAAUAUAGGGGGCUCAUGACGGUACCUGAAGAAUAAGCACCGGCUAACUACGUGCCAGCCGCCGCCGUAAUAC
rnacentral:rRNA from 1 species